GACGAACGCUGGCGGCGUGCUUAACACAUGCAAGUCGAACGGAAAGGCCCUGCUUUUGUGGGGUGCUCGAGUGGCGAACGGGUGAGUAACACGUGAGUAACCUGCCCUUGACUUUGGGAUAACUUCAGGAAACUGGGGCUAAUACCGGAUAGGAGCUCCUGCUGCAUGGUGGGGGUUGGAAAGUUUCGGCGGAUGGGGAUGGACUCGCGGCUUAUCAGCUUGUUGGUGGGGUAGUGGCUUACCAAGGCUUUGACGGGUAGCCGGCCUGAGAGGGUGACCGGCCACAUUGGGACUGAGAUACGGCCCAGACUCCUACGGGAGGCAGCAGUGGGGAAUAUUGCACAAUGGGCGGAAGCCUGAUGCAGCAACGCCGCGUGCGGGAUGACGGCCUUCGGGUUGUAAACCGCUUUCGCCUGUGACGAAGCGUGAGUGACGGAAAUGGGUAAAGAAGCACCGGCUAACUACGUG
rnacentral:rRNA from 1 species